GCCUUGUGCCUGAAAGGGCGACGGCUGUACCGGAGCGGGAAGUCAGCAGAGGUCGUAGUAGCUCAAGCCGGGGUCGAUGAGGCCAGAAGGCGACGGCGAAGGAC
rfam:Burkholderiales bacterium RIFOXYC12_FTLL_65_23 rifoxyc3_full_scaffold_110, whole genome shotgun sequence.